GACGAACGCUGGCGGCGUGCCUAAUACAUGCAAGUCGAACGCAGUGGGGACGGGUGAGCAACACGUUGGUAACCUCCCAGCAGAGGGGAUAACACUUGGAAACAGGUGCUAAACCGAUAUUGCUGGUUGGACCCGGGGUGCAUUAGCUAGUUGGUGAUGGAACGGCUAACCAAGUCCACGAUGCAUAACCGGCCUGUGAGGGUGAUCGGCAACACUGGAACUGAGCCACGGCCCAGACGCCUACGGGAGGGAGCAGUGGGGAAUAUUGGGCAAUGGACGAAAGUCUGACCGAGCAACGCCGCGUGAGUGAUGAAGGUCUUCGGAUCGUAAAGCUCUGUUAUUAGGGAGGCGGUACCUAAUCAGAAAGCAACGGCUAACUACGUGCCAGCAGCCGCGGUAAUUC
rnacentral:rRNA from 1 species